rnacentral:tRNA from 1 species
GGGUCGUUAGCCCAGCUGGUGGUGAGAGCAGCGCCGGACUUUUAAUCACUCCGGUCGCAGGUUCGCAAACUCUGCACGACCCACCA